UGAAGAGAUAAAACUUAGCUUUACUAAGUUAAAUCAGAAGAGAAAAAGACAGAUCUAGAAGAUACUAUUUCCAAAACAUGUAUUCUAUAAACUGAAACGGAAAUGCAAGUGGCCAGCUUUCUUUUAUUCUUUCACCGGCCAAGGGGGAGCAACGUUUUGUGCAGGGCCACUUCACCACCAAGGACUCUGACCGCUUCUCCACCUCCAGGACAAGCACUGAGGCCAAUUCCACCUCCAAUCUGCUGGUCUUCCACAUUCACACAGGGCCAUUUCACCACCGACUCCUACUGCUUCUCUGCCUCCAAGAGGAGCACUGAGGCCAAUUUCGCCUCGAUUCUGAAUGUCUCCCACUUUGGUGUAGGGCCAUUUCACCACAGAGGACUCUGACCACUUCUCCACCUCCAGGAUGAGCACUGAGGCCGAUAUCACCUCCAUUCUGGUGGCCUCACACAGCAACUCGCUGCUGAACCCAGACAUCUUUGCUGAAGUCAGUUGACUGGACAGUACAGUGCAGGAUCUGCGUGUGGCACAGGGAAACGCAAGCCAGCUCCAGUACCAGCAGGUGUGCGCGAGGUACAAGAUGCUCUGCGUGGUGCCCCCAACCCACUCCUGUACACCUGGCAGGUGGACAAAACGCUCGACCUGGGCAGCAUCUCCUUCCCCAUCUAUAACCAUAGUGGACACCCCCUCUACCUGACCAGCUUCUUCAGAGGACACAUCUUUGGGGACAGCCU
rnacentral:lncRNA from 1 species